UUUUAUCCAUUUAUUUAAUUUCAGAGUAGGAAGGGACCACCCGGGCCAUCUAGUCCAACCCUCUGCCAAUGCAAGAAUUACAGCUACAACAUCCCUGAACAAAUAGAUACCCAAUCGAAGCUUAAAAAUCUCCAAUGCUGAAGAAUCAUGUGGCAGACUGUUCCCGUGUCGAAAGCACCGUCGGGAAAUUCUCCCUCAAAUACAACGAAAGCCUCCAUUAGCGUCUAGCCUAAGCCAAGACCUGUCAUCUAACCCAGCUGAUUACGCAUCCGUUCAGUCCUCCGCCUGGCAGGCCACCCUUUGGGCACACGAGGGCGGCGCGUCGUACCUGCCGAAGGCUCCGCCCGAAACAGCUGGAAGAGCGACUGCGCUCGGCCCGUCCGGCGGCGGCGGCAGGCAGGUUUCCUGGCUGCUGAGAAUUGACCACCAAGAGGUUCUCUGUGUGAUGAACUGAAAUACUGGGAUGCAUACAUUUAAGAACACUCUUGUAGCAUCGGGGUUAUUAGAAUGCCCUACUCUUCUGCUGAUCUCAGGAGUCAUUUCACUAUAGGACAAAUGGUACACGAAGCAGUCUGCCAAUUCCAAUGUACUCUCUCCAGUUAUUUAGCCUGCCUUUCUUUCUGAAACUUGAAGUGGAUUACAGUAUCAAACGAUGGAAUCAAAUGGAUGAGUCAUCCAAUAAACAAUGGUUUACAGAAAUUCAAAAAAAGUGCAAAAUCACAAAAGCAGAA